rnacentral:rRNA from 1 species
AGAGUUUGAUCAUGGCUCAGGAUGAACGCUGGCGGCGUGCCUAACACAUGCAAGUCGAGCGAUCUUCUUCGGAAGAGAGCGGCGGACGGGUGAGUAACGCGUGGGUAACCUGCCUCAUACACAUGGAUAACAUACCGAAAGGUAUGCUAAUACAAGAUGAUAUAAGAGAUUCGCAUGGAUUUCUUAUCAAAGCUCCGGCGGUAUGAGAUGGACCCGCGUCUGAUUAGCUAGUUGGUAAGGUAACGGCUUACCAAGGCGACGAUCAGUAGCCGACCUGAGAGGGUGAUCGGCCACAUUGGAAAUGAGACACGGUCCAAACUCCUACGGGAGGGCAGCAGUGGGGAAUAUUGCACAAUGGGCGAAAGCCUGAUGCAGCAACGCCGCGUGAGCGAUGAAGGCCUUUCGGGUCGUAAAGCUCUGUCCUCAAGGAAGAUAAUGACGGUACUUGAGGAGGAAGCCCCGGCUAACUACGUGCCAGCAGCCGCGGUAAUACGUAGGGGGCUAGCGUUAUCCGGAUUUACUGGGCGUAAAGGGUGCGUAGGUGGUUUCUUAAGUCAGGAGUGAAAGGCUACGGCUCAACCGUAGUAAGCUCUUGAAACUGGGAAACUUGAGUGCAGGAGAGGAAAGUGGAAUUCCUAGUGUAGCGGUGAAAUGCGUAGAUAUUAGGAGGAACACCAGUAGCGAAGGCGGCUUUCUGGACUGUAACUGACACUGAGGCACGAAAGCGUGGGGAGCAAACAGGAUUAGAUACCCUGGUAGUCCACGCCGUAAACGAUGAGUACUAGGUGUCGGGGGUUACCCCCCUCGGUGCCGCAGCUAACGCAUUAAGUACUCCGCCUGGGGAGUAC